ACUAAAUAGAUACCCCGGUAGUCCAUGCCGUAAACUAUGGAUACUAGCUGUUGGGGGUAUCGACCCCUCCAGUAGCGAAAGCUAAACGCGUUAAGUAUCCCGCCUGUGGAGUACGAUCGCAAGAUUAAAACAUAAAGGAAUUGACGGGGACCCGCACAAGCGGUGGAGCGUGUUCUUAAUCGAUGCUAAACGAAGAACCUUACCAGGGCUUGACAUCCCUUGAAUUACUCCGAAAGGAGUGAGUGCUUUAUUGAGCAAGGUGACAGGUGAUGCAUGGCCGUCGUCAGCUCGUGUCGUGAGAU
rnacentral:rRNA from 1 species